GACAGAGGUGCCGAGCGUUAGGCGGAAUCACUGGGCUUAAAGCGUGUGUAGGCGGGCGAUCAAGUACCUUGUGAAAUCCCACGGCUCAACCGUGGAACCGCUGGGUAUACUGGUUGUCUUGAGCCGGCUAGGGGCGAGCGGAACAGACGGUGGAGCGGUGAAAUGCGCAGAUAUCGGGAGGAACACCAGUAGCGAAGGCGGCACUCUGGGCCGUGACUGACGCUGAGGAGCGAAAGCGUGGGUAGCAAACAGG
rnacentral:rRNA from 1 species